rnacentral:rRNA from 1 species
GACGAACGCUGGCGGCGUGCUUAACACAUGCAAGUCGAACGGAAAGGCCCUGCUUUUGUGGGGUGCUCGAGUGGCGAACGGGUGAGUAACACGUGUGUAACCUGCCCUUGACUUUGGGAUAACUUCAGGAAACUGGGGCUAAUACCGGAUAGGAGCUCCUGCUGCAUGGUGGGGGUUGGAAAGUUUCGGCGGUUUGGGAUGGACUCGCGGCUUAUCAGCUUGUUGGUGGGGUAGUGGUUUACCAAGGCUUUGACGGGUAGCCGGCCUGAGAGGGUGACCGGCCACAUUGGGACUGAGAUACGGCCCAGACUCCUACGGGAGGCAGCAGUGGGGAAUAUUGCACAAUGGGCGGAAGCCUGAUGCAGCAACGCCGCGUGCGGGAUGACGGCCUUCGGGUUAUAAACAGCUUUCGCCGGUGACGAAGCGUGAGUGACGGUAAUGGGUAAAGAAGCACCGGCUAACUACGUG